rnacentral:rRNA from 1 species
GAUGAACGCUGGCGGCGUGCCUAAUACAUGCAAGUCGAGCGAACGGACGAGAAGCUUGCUUCUCUGAUGUUAGCGGCGGACGGGUGAGUAACACGUGGAUAACCUACCUAUAAGGCUGGGAUAACUUCGGGAAACCGUAGCUAAUACCGGAUAAUAUUUUGAACCGCAUGGUUCAAAAGUGAAAGACGGUCUUGCUGUCACUUAUAGAUGGAUCCGCGCUGCAUUAGCUAGUUGGUAAGGUAACGGCUUACCAAGGCAACGAUGCAUAGCCGACCUGAGAGGGUGAUCGGCCACACUGGAACUGAGACACGGUCCAGACUCCUACGGGAGGCAGCAGUAGGGAAUCUUCCGCAAUGGGCGAAAGCCUGACGGAGCAACGCCGCGUGAGUGAUGAAGGUCCUCGGAUCGUAAAACGCUGUUAUUAGGGAAGAACAUAUGUGUAAGUAACUGUGCACAUCUUGACGGUACCUAAGCAGAAAGCCACGGCUAACUACGU